rnacentral:rRNA from 1 species
UACAGGAGGGGCAAGCGUUGUUCGGAAUUACUGGGCGUAAAGGGUCUGUAGGUGGCCAACUAAGUCAGACGUGAAAUCCCUCAGCUUAACUGGGGAACUGCGUCUGAUACUGGAUGGCUUGAGUGUGGGAGAGGAAUGCGGAAUUCCAGGUGUAGCGGUGAAAUGCGUAGAUAUCUGGAGGAACACCGGUGGCGAAGGCGGCAUUCUGGACCAUAACUGACACUGAGAGACGAAAGCCAGGGGAGCAAACGGG